ACGGAGGGUGCAAGCGUUAUCCGGAUUCACUGGGUUUAAAGGGUGCGUAGGCGGGCAGUUAAGUCAGUGGUGAAAUCCUAGAGCUUAACUCUAUAACUGCCAUUGAUACUAUCUGUCUUGAAUAUUGUGGAGGUAAGCGGAAUAUGUCAUGUAGCGGUGAAAUGCUUAGAUAUGACAUAGAACACCUAUUGCGAAGGCAGCUUACUACGCAUAUAUUGACGCUGAGGCACGAAAGCGUGGGGAUCAAACAGGAUUAGAUACCCUGGUAGUCCACGCCCUAAACGAUGAUUACUCGACAUUUGUGAUACACUAUAAGUGGCUGAGCGAAAGCAUUAAGUAAUCCACCUGGGAAGUACGACCGCAAGGUU
rnacentral:rRNA from 1 species